rnacentral:rRNA from 1 species
GCAGAGGGCGUGCCGGUAGGCGCUGUAAUACGAAGGGGGCUUGCGUUGUGUUGAAUUACGGGGCUGGAAGCGCACGUAGGCGGCAUGCCAAUUGGGAGGUGAAAUCCCCGGGCUUAACCUGGGAACUGCUUCCAAAACUGGGAAGCUAGAGUCCGAGAGAGGUGAGUGGAAUUUCCAGUGUAGAGGUGAAAUUCGUAGAGAUUGGAAAGAACACCAGUGGCGAAGGCGGCUCACUGGCUCGGUACUGACGCUGAGGAGCGACAGCGUGGGGAGCAAACAGGAUUAUAUACCCUGGUAGUC